rnacentral:rRNA from 1 species
AGAGCGAACGCUGGCGGCAGGCCUAAAACAUGCAAGUCGAACGAGCCCUUCGGGGCUAGUGGCGGACGGGUGAGUAACACGUGGGAACGUGCCUUUUGGUUCGGAACAACUCAGGGAAACUUGAGCUAAUACCGAAUAAGCCCUACGGGGGAAAGAUUUAUCGCCAUUAGAGCGGCCCGCGUCUGAUUAGCUAGUUGGUGAGGUAAAGGCUCACCAAGGCUACGAUCAGUAGCUGGUCUGAGAGGAUGAUCAGCCACACUGGGACUGAGACACGGCCCAGACUCCUACGGGAGGCAGCAGUUAGGAAUCUUGCGCAAUGGGCGAAAGCCUGACGCAGCCAUGCCGCGUGAAUGAUGAAGGUCUUAGGAUUGUAAAUUCUUCAGUGGGAAGAUAAUGACGGUACCACAGAAGAAGCUCCGGCUAACUUCGCGCCAGCAGCCGC